rnacentral:rRNA from 1 species
CCUACGGGGGGCAGCAGUAGGGAAUCUUCCACAAUGGACGAAAGUCUGAUGGAGCAACGCCGCGUGAGUGAAGAAGGGUUUCGGCUCGUAAAGCUCUGUUGGUAGUGAAGAAAGAUAGCGGUAGUAACUGACCUUUAUUUGACGGUAAUUACUUAGAAAGUCACGGCUAACUACGUGCCAGCAGCCGCGGUAAUACGUAGGUGGCAAGCGUUAUCCGGCAUUUUUGGGCGGAAAGCGAUUGAAGGCGGUUUAAUAAUUCUGAUGGGAAAGGCUUCGGCUCAAACGGGGGGUUGCAUCAGAAACUGGUGAACUAGAGUGCGAAAGAGGAGAGUGGAACUCCAUGUGAAGCGGUGGAAUGCGUAGAUAUAUGGAAGAACACCAGAGGCGAAGGCGGCUUUCUGGUCUGAAACUGACGCUGAGGCUCGAAAGCAUGGGGAGCGAACAGGAUUAGAUACCCGAGUAGUC